GUAAAUAUAGUUUAAUAAAAACAUUAGAUUGUGAAUCUAAUAAUAGAAGUGUAAGCCUUCCUAUUUACC
rnacentral:tRNA from 1 species